UACGGAAGGCAGCAGUGGGGAAUAUUGCACAAUGGGCGAAAGCCUGAUGCAGCUAUGCCGCGUGUAUGAAGAAGGCCUUAGGGUUGUAAAGUACUUUCAUCGGGGAGGAAAACAAACUAAUAAUUUUAUUUCUUGACGUUACCCGAAAAAGAAGCACCGGCUAACUCCGUGCCAGCAGCCGCGGUAAUACGGAGGGUGCUAGCGUUAAUCAGAAUUACUGGGCGUAAAGAGCACGUAGGUGGUUUUUUUAAGUCAGAUGUGAAAUCCCUGGGCUUAACCUAGGAACUGCAUUUUGAAACUGAAAUACUAGAGUAUCGUAGAGGGAGGUAGAAUUCUAGGUGUAGCGGUGAAAUGCGUAGAUAUCUGGAGGAAUACCUGUGGCGAAAGCGGCCUCCUAAACGAAUACUGACACUGAGGUGCGAAAGCGUGGGGAGCAAACAGGGAUUAGAUACC
rnacentral:rRNA from 1 species